GGGUUGUGAGGUUAAGCGACUAAGCGUACACGGUGGAUGCCCUGGCAGUCAGAGGCGAUGAAGGACGUGCUAAUCUGCGAAAAGCGUCGGUAAGGUGAUAUGAACCGUUAUAACCGGCGAUGUCCGAAUGGGGAAACCCAGUGCAAUUCGUUGCACUAUCGUUAACUGAAUACAUAGGUUAACGAGGCGAACCGGGGGAACUGAAACAUCUAAGUACCCCGAGGAAAAGAAAUCAACCGAGAUUCCCCCAGUAGCGGCGAGCGAACGGGGAGCAGCCCAGAGUCUGAAUCAGCUUGUGUGUUAGUGGAACGGUCUGGAAAGUCCGACGGUACAGGGUGAUAGUCCCGUACACCAAAAUGCACAGGCUGUGAACUCGAAGAGUAGGGCGGGACACGUGGUAUCCUGUCUGAAUAUGGGGGGACCAUCCUCCAAGGCUAAAUACUCCUGACUGACCGAUAGUGAACCAGUACCGUGAGGGAAAGGCGAAAAGAACCCCGGCGAGGGGAGUGAAAAAGAACCUGAAACCGUGUACGUACAAGCAGUGGGAGCACCUUCGGGUGUGACUGCGUACCUUUUGUAUAAUGGGUCAGCGACUUAUAUUCUGUAGCAAGGUUAACCGUAUAGGGGAGCCGCAGGGAAACCGAGUCUUAACUGGGCGUUAAGUUGCAGGGUAUAGACCCGAAACCCGGUGAUCUAGCCAUGGGCAGGUUGAAGGUUGGGUAACACUAACUGGAGGACCGAACCGACUAAUGUUGAAAAAUUAGCGGAUGACUUGUGGCUGGGGGUGAAAGGCCAAUCAAACCGGGAGAUAGCUGGUUCUCCCCGAAAGCUAUUUAGGUAGCGCCUCGUGAAUUCAUCUUCGGGGGUAGAGCACUGUUUCGGCUAGGGGGUCAUCCCGACUUACCAACCCGAUGCAAACUACGAAUACCGAAGAAUGUUAUCACGGGAGACACACGGCGGGUGCUAACGUCCGUCGUGAAGAGGGAAACAACCCAGACCGCCAGCUAAGGUCCCAAAGUCAUGGUUAAGUGGGAAACGAUGUGGGAAGGCACAGACAGCCAGGAUGUUGGCUUAGAAGCAGCCAUCAUUUAAAGAAAGCGUAAUAGCUCACUGGUCGAGUCGGCCUGCGCGGAAGAUGUAACGGGGCUAAACCAUGCACCGAAGCUGCGGCAGCGACACUAUGUGUUGUUGGGUAGGGGAGCGUUCUGUAAGCCUGCGAAGGUGACCUGUGAGGGUUGCUGGAGGUAUCAGAAGUGCGAAUGCUGACAUAAGUAACGAUAAAGCGGGUGAAAAGCCCGCUCGCCGGAAGACCAAGGGUUCCUGUCCAACGUUAAUCGGGGCAGGGUGAGUCGACCCCUAAGGCGAGGCCGAAAGGCGUAGUCGAUGGGAAACAGGUUAAUAUUCCUGUACUUGGUGUUACUGCGAAGGGGGGACGGAGAAGGCUAUGUUAGCCGGGCGACGGUUGUCCCGGUUUAAGCAUGUAGGCUGGUUGUCCAGGCAAAUCCGGAUAAUCAAGGCUGAGGUGUGAUGACGAGGCACUACGGUGCUGAAGUAACAAAUGCCCUGCUUCCAGGAAAAGCCUCUAAGCAUCAGGUAACAUCAAAUCGUACCCCAAACCGACACAGGUGGUCAGGUAGAGAAUACCAAGGCGCUUGAGAGAACUCGGGUGAAGGAACUA
rnacentral:rRNA from 1 species